rnacentral:rRNA from 1 species
GGCCAGACUCCUACGGGAGGCAGCAGUGAGGAAUAUUGGUCAAUGGGCGGGAGCCUGAACCAGCCAAGUCGCGUGAGGGAUGACGGCCCUACGGGUUGUAAACCUCUUUUGCCGGGGAGCAACGGGCGCCACGUGUGGCGCCACUGAGAGUACCCGGAGAAAAAGCAUCGGCUAACUCCGUGCCAGCAGCCGCGGUAAUACGGAGGAUGCGAGCGCUAUCCGGAUUUAUUGGGUUUAAAGGGUGCGCAGGCGGAAGAUCAAGUCAGGGGUAAAAUGGAGGGGCUCAACCUCUGCGAGCCGUUGAAACUGGUUUUCUUGAGUGAGCGAGAAGUAUGCGGAAUGCGUGGUGUAGCGGUGAAAUGCAUAGAUAUCACGCAGAACUCCGAUUGCGAAGGCAGCAUACCGGCGCUCAACUGACGCUCAUGCACGAAAGUGUGGGUAUCGAACAGGAUUAGAUACCCUAGUA